AGAAAAUUCACAACCCUAGGUCUAAUGUUCAAUUAUGGCUAAUAUCUUUAUUAAUUGUAUGUGUGUACUUUAAAAUUUGUGCCAAUUACAUGGCCUAGGGACUAGGGAGGGUCUGUUAGUGCUUUUAGAUUUGUUGAUGUGACACAUAUUUUGAUCCUAAAAAAAGUAGUCUUUUGAUGUGGCAUUUGAAUGACAAGAAAUUCCAAUGGCCAACUUUUGUUGUCUGUUGAGUGUUCAUUGGAGUAAAAUGAAUUUUAAAUGUUGUUUAAGUAGUAUUGAAGUUGUUGAUGUUACAUGGAGGUCUUAGCUCUACCCUGCCUUUUGUUUUUCUUCUAGAAUAAUCAUAAGCAUUUUCAAAAUUCAGAAAAACUAUGCAAGAGGCCGCUAGUGAACAAUUGGAAAAAGCUCUAUCCCUCUUAUGGAAAGUGGAAAUAGAAGCAAAUUAGUUUCAAUGGAUUUUUCCUUUGCGACCUAUUUUACUGACAUGAUUUAUCACUAGAUGUAAGUGGGGUUUAGUUUAAGGUUGAACUUUGAGAAGGUUUAUGAUUAGUUGUGCUAAGGUUUUAUGGUAAAAAGUUAUGGAUAAAAUGGAGUGCACUUAUCUCCAAAUUUUGAACUUAGCCAGUAUGAAGCUACAUAAUAGGACCUAGUUUUUCCCACUUAGCAAUUCAAUGACACAUGAGGUUUAGCAGCUAGUUUAGGGUUAUUAAUGCUUAACCAUCCAUGCAUUUUGUUACUAUUAGAGCCUAAAACUUGGUUUGACGACUUGAGUUGGGUAAAGUGAUCCUUCAUCUCCUUAUUGUUGAUAUUCUUGAUCGAGUGAUUGAUAGGGAUGUUGUGAUUGCAUGAUUCAAGAUACAAGAGUGGGGUCUGAUGAAACUAUUGCUGUCUCACCUACAAUUUAUUAAGGACUUCAUUUUCUUCUUUCCUUAUAGUGUGGCUAGUUUUGUCAAAGUCGUAUAUAACUUGCAUAUUGUUGAGGAAGUGUCUAGUUUAAGAAUUAUUCAAUCAUCGUAAAACUAGCUCUGUAUUUGCAUUUAGAUGUUGUUCAAGGUUGACAUCCUUAGUAGGUCAUAGUUUAGGUUUG
rnacentral:misc_RNA from 1 species